UACGAAGGGGGCUAGCGUUGUUCGGAAUCACUGGGCGUAAAGGGCGCGUAGGCGGCUUUAUAAGUCGGGGGUGAAAGCCUGUGGCUCAACCACAGAAUUGCCUUCGAUACUGUAUGGCUUGAGACCGGAAGAGGUUAGUGGAACUGCGAGUGUAGAGGUGAAAUUCGUAGAUAUUCGCAAGAACACCAGUGGCGAAGGCGGCUGACUGGUCCGGUUCUGACGCUGAGGCGCGAAAGCGUGGGGAGCAAACAGG
rnacentral:rRNA from 1 species